CAUUGCUUAGUGUCAAAUUCUGGCGACCCAGAGAGGACCAUAGCCUCUGCCCGUGGCUGGUUGACUUGGAGGAGGCUGUUUGGGGAUUUUUCCCUGCAUCUGCCAGGUGGCUUUUUCCGCCUGGGGAAUUUCCCUUUGGCUUCCUCGCUUGCCGACUGCCUCUAACGCUUCAGUGAUUGGGAAAGGAAGAACCGGAUCAACUAGAUCGUAAACUGAAGAGCUUACAUCUGCAGGUAGGCCAGCUAGAAAUGCAAGUGCUGCCGGAACAUCAUCUUCAUGGUUCCAGAUGGCCCUGCUAGGUGUUCAAACACCACUGCUGGACCCACUGCCAUUGGAUCUUCAAGGAGCCGACCUGAUUUGCUGAACUGCCCGUGGGAAGAACCGGACUUGGAACUCUUCACAGUUGGCAGCAGCUUCACGGAUCAAGGUCUGCAUAUCUGUCUGAUGUCCCUCUAUAUGCCUUCCAGCCUGGUGAUCAUGUUUUGCUAAAAAUUUGGAAAGACCAGGGACCCAAAAACCAGUUGUCACCCAAACAGACAGGCCCUUCUGAGAUUCUUCUCACCGCUCACUCAUCGGUAGAACUUACAGGUGUAAAACCCUGGAUACAUCACUCCCAGAUCGGGGUGGCCCCCAAAUCCCAGGAAAGUAUCCCACAUGUAUCAAGGGGAAAAUGGGUGGUGGAACCCCUUGGAGAGCUAAAAUAGAUCUUUCACAGUUAACUCUUUUCCAUGCUAUGGUCCCCCUAUGACGUCCUGAUUUAGCAGGAAGUAGCCAGAGAAAGUACAACGCCCUAUCUCCCCCUUGACCAUAAGAUUAUGGGUUACUACUAACAGGGGGGAAAUUGUAAGUGAGCAAAAGUGAAGCCAUCUUGUUUUGUUAAAUGGCCCCAGCCCCUCAUCUGUGUGACUACUCACUGCUCUGCACAUACCUUAAAAAAUUCACAUGUUCUCCUGAUUUAUGGCCUCUGCUUACGUAUGUACUCCCUGAAACCUUGAUAAAUUAAAACUUUGUUCUAUGAGUUUCUCUCCAGGAACAGGCUGGCCACAGGUGGGAAACACACCUACAAUGUAUCCAUCACAGCUGAGAGAAGAAUAGAACAAUGUGAUGCCUGGAGCCCGUCAUGCCUGGAGACCAGCAUCCCUGAACCCCUUCUCAUUGCCCAUUUUCCCUAUAUAACUGCCUUGAGAUUCUGUAAACCUGGAAGAUGGGUUUUUGAGACAUUAGUCACUCAUCUUCUGAUUAGCCAGCUAAUCUAAUUAAACUU